GGAUUGAACGCUGGCGGCAUGCUUUACACAUGCAAGUCGAGCGGCAGCGCGGGGGCAACCCUGGCGGCGAGCGGCGAACGGGUGAGUAAUACAUCGGAACGUACCCCGUAGUGGGGGAUAACUCAGCGAAAGCUGGGCUAAUACCGCAUAUGCUCUGCGGAGGAAAGUGGGGGACCCGCAAGGGCCUCACGCUAGUGGGGAGCGGCCGAGUGUCCGAUUAGCUUGUUGGCGAGGUAAAGGCUACACCGAAGGCGACGAGUCGGUAGCUGGUCUGAGGAGGAUGAUCAGCCACG
rnacentral:rRNA from 1 species